CAGAGCACUGUGGGUCUGGGCCAUCUCCUGGGCUGACCCGGGAAGCUCUGGCCACCCGGAGCCUGUCUCGGCAUUUGUACGGGGGAUAAAGAGACGCUUCCUCCAAGGCUGUUUUCUGAAUUCAGCAGUGCUCAGGGCAACUGCGAUGGAGUCAGCAGCUACACCAGUGCCGGGCUGCUGCCUGGGUGGAGGGUGGAGAGGAAAUGUGAGUCACACAGGACCCCAGAGCCGCCCAGCCAAGCCCUGGCCACGCCAGCCCGGGAGGCCCGAGGUCCCCACGCAAAUUACCCACCAGAUGAACCCACUCGAUAGAGCCUGGCAUCCCUCUCUCCUCUAGGAAAAAAAUUACAGGAAACUAAAAAGUACACUCAGUUGCGCUUGAAGCCAUCUGAGUUUCAUGAAGCAGCAAGUCCUCCAGGCCCUGGAAAGCUCAGGAGCUGGGAAGAAAGAGGUGUUUUCACUCCAGCACAGGUGCUGAUGCCACGGGAUUCCCAGAAGCCCCCAGCCCAGAUGCACCACUCAGAAGCCCCUCCACCCCCACUUCAUAAAAAUCCAAAUCACUCUGUGUGUAACUAAGUCUUCUGGUUGUUUGGCACCUUUUGAAAAUGACUUUUGAACUUUUCUUAUGACAAAGUCCAUCUUUGGGGUGAGGCCCCGUCCACACCCCACAAAAGGCUGUGGUCCUCUGAAGCUCCCGGGUGCAACAGGCUAUAGUUUGCUCUCCGCCCAGCCCGGGAAGCUCAGAGUCACAACUUCAGCUUCCCUAGGAACUUCCCUGAUGCUGUGGAGGCCUUUGGCACUGGCAAGGGGAGGGAGAUUCAGUGACUGUGCUGAGCAGGAGGGACACUGAGGCGCACACGGGGCCAGGAUGUCGCGUUUAAUGACACCCCGAGGGGACGCCAUUUUUGCAGCCGAGGCCAACACAGCCUGCUCCUCUCUUUAUGUCCCAAGAAGCGAGAGGGACUCCAGCCGUCUCCCCCGCGGCCUCCUCCAGGUGGCUGCCCCGCAGCGGUGAGUCCAUGAAAAGCAAAUGGAACGACGGCAUGGAGGCGUCUUUUCCCACCCGUGCCUCGUGAGCCUGUGGGGAACCAUCCUUGCCGGAGCGGCCCCAAGGGGAGCCACGUCUGCGUGGCCAGCCAGGCCCAGCUCAGCAGCUGCCAUGGAGCAGCCUCCACCGCACACCUGGGAGCACCCGCACCCUGCAAUUCCUGCGCAGGUGGGAGCAGAUACGCUUAGACUUCCCCUAAAAGUGCGGGGAACCGACAAACAUCCCUGCCUUCCUCAAAGACCCCGGCUGAGCCAGCGCCUGUGGCCUUCCCUCUUGGAGGUGGGGCCUCUCCCCGUGGUCUCCGACGUCUGUGGCCGUUUCAGGUCGACCAGGGUGAGGGUGAGGGCAGGCUUUCUGUUUCUGCUUAAGGAUCAUAAAGUAAUUGUCUUUCAAAGGCAAUAGUAUUCACGGCCAGAAAUGUCUAUCUAGCAAUUGCUUCCAGAACAAGACAAAGCGCCGAGGCUGUUGAAAGAUGGAAAUAACCUCGCAUCUCAGUAAAGGAGACGCAGGGCCGUGUCCCGCCGGCAAGAGCAUCGCCAUGGCGGCUCCCAGCUCCGUGGAGGCCCAGGCGGGCAGGGCCGGCCCCCGUGCUGUUCAAAACUCAGCCCCUGGCAGGAAGGAAAGCAGCCGGUCCUGAAAGGGCCUUUGUGUUCAGCCUUAUCAGAGCUCCGAGUCCUUAGUAGGAAACUGCCCGAGUGCAAGAGUAAAAAUAUUCCAGAUCAUUAGGGAAUUCCCUGCAGUCUGAGUCAUCGGGAGGCUUCCCUGCCACACCCGCGAGGUUUCCACACAGGCAGGCCUGCGGGCCCAGGAGCCUCCCAGACUGGCCAGGACCCGCCGCCCGGAGCCGGGCCACCCCCACGCCGGCGCUGAUGCUGAGCCACUGUUUCCACAAAGAAAGCCACGAGGGCCGCUGGUGGAAGCAGCAGCGUCCCUGGGUCCCACGGUGCCCUCGAGCCCUGCUCCCCACGGCGUCUCCUGCCCUGCUCCCCACAGCAUCCUCGUGCCGUGCACCCCACAGAAUCCUCAUGCCCAGAAGCGAGCAUCCCUGGGGCGUCCGUCAUCCAUCCCCGGCUCUCCCCCAGGAGUCUGUCCCAGCCUGGCUCCCAGAGGAGAUUCUGGAGGGGAAACAGCCACCCAGCCGCGCUGCACAUCUGCCUGCAGGGCCUCACACGGAGCCACCCUGUGACCCACAGCCCUUUCACACCGAGGCAUGCGCUCAGGAGACAGGCAGGCGUCCACACAGGACUCACGCACUGAGGUUCAUGGCGGCUUUUCCACGAUCAUCUCCACGGGGUGGACGUGGCCCAGUGCCAUCGACAGACAAGUGUGGGCAGCCACACGGUGGGCUUCCCUCAGCCACAGAAAGACCCCACGUCCCGACCUGUGCCAAGGAGGGGACCUGAGGACCCUACGCCCUGACCCACACCAACGAGGGAACAUGGAGGAUGCCACGCUCCACAGAAGCUGCCAGGCACCGCAGCCGGCAGGAUGGGGUUCCCCAGCAGGCCAGCAGGGAGCAGCCAGACCAGGCGAGGCCACGGCGAGGGGGCAUCGGGGUUGUCGGAGCCGGGGUGGGGGAAGGGAGAGCAGGGGUGGCUGCUCAUGGGCAAGGGUUUCUUUCUGGGGACAAGAAAAUGUUCUGAAAUUGGUGGUGGCCGCAUAAUUCUGUGAAGCCACCAAAACCCACCGAAUUAUACACUUUGAGUGAAUUAAAUGGUGUAUAGAUCAUAUCUCGAUAAAGCUGAUAUAAAAAAGAAACUAGCCAACAUGA